rnacentral:rRNA from 1 species
CCUACGGGGCGCAGCAGUGGGGAAUAUUGGGCAAUGGGCGCAAGCCUGACCCAGCAACGCCGCGUGAAGGAAGAAGGCUUUCGGGUUGUAAACUUCUUUUAAGGGGGAAGAGCAGAAGACGGUACCCCUUGAAUAAGCAACGGCUAACUACGUGCCAGCAGCCGCGGUAAUACGUAGGUGGCAAGCGUUGUCCGGAUUUACUGGGUGUAAAGGGCGUGCAGCCGGAGAGACAAGUCAGAUGUGAAAUCCACGGGCUCAACCCGUGAACUGCAUUUGAAACUGUUUCCCUUGAGUGUCGGAGAGGUAAUCGGAAUUCCUUGUGUAGCGGUGAAAUGCGUAGAUAUAAGGAAGAACACCAGUGGCGAAGGCGGAUUACUGGACGAUAACUGACGGUGAGGCGCGAAAGCGUGGGGAGCAAACAGGAUUAGAUACCCCAGUAGUC